AACGUAGGGGACGAGCGUUAUCCGGAUUUACUGGGCGUAAAGCGCCCGUAGGCGGCUUUGUAAGUUGGACGUGAAAGCUCCCGGCUUAACUGGGAGAGGCCGUUCAAAGCUGUAAGGCUAGAGUGAGGCAGAGGAGCGCGGAAUUCCCGGUGUAGUGGUGGAAUGCGUAGAUAACGGGAGGAACACCAGUGGCGAAAGCGGCGCUCUGGGCCUAAACUGACGCUGAGGGGCGAAAGCGUGGGGAGCGAACGGG
rnacentral:rRNA from 1 species